GUUUACUUCCUGGUUGCACCAUGAGAAGACGCUGGCUGCAUCAAAGCUCCCAAACAAAAGUUUCACUUUGUGUCAAGUUCUGGAUAUGUUGGAUCUAGGUGACUGCUCAGACAAGGCUAGCAACAUUGCAGUUAUCCCUCAGAGAUUGUGAUAGCGAUGGGUCAGAUAUGGACUAUGAGGGGGAGACAGGCCAUUUGCCAGCAAGGCUGUUGAAUGUAUAUGCUGAACCUAUGCAAACUGAUCAUGACAGGAAAAACGUUAUCAGUGAUGAUGACGAACCCCUCACCACCCCACACUCUCCUCCCUGAGACUGGGUUGGGUCAUGGGCCCAGUGUCGUUCUUGGUGUUGCAGAGCAAUCUCAGGUGCCUCAAAGUUGCAAGUUCCUUCAUGACAACUGUUGGAGGAAAUUAUAGUUGAAAUGAUUAAUUAUGUAUACAUUUAUUUAAGAACCAUUUUUCUUAAUACUAUUAUGUUAUGGUAUGAAAUGUAUGGGUUCUUGGUUAAGCUGUUACUGAAAAUGUAAGUAGAACGAAUUAAUUGUCUGUACCUUGUGGGUUUAAGGGAGAAAGGAGGGCAUAUAUAUUUUCUGACAGAUAAGAAUGGUCUUUGAUGUUCCAUUAGUGGAGGAGGAAAUGUCUUUUAGACAGAUUGGAAUGUUUGUUUUAUGAGGGGAGUAGAAGAAGAUCUCCAGACCUGAAGACACUGCACUAUUGUGGGGAUCGGAGAGAGUGUGUGAAACUGAUGACGUCAUUUUAUGUUCUCUCUUUAAAAUCAAAUGCUCUUUGUAUUUUGGGUCAGUACUCACUUGAAUUAAACGCUAUUACCUGACUUUUAA